GGAGGAAAGCAGGGGAUCGUAAGACCUUGCGUUAAUGGAGCGGCCGAUAUCUGAUUAGCUAGUUGGUGAGGUAAAGGCUCACCAAGGCGACGAUCAGUAGCUGGUUUGAGAGAACGACCAGCCACACUGGAACUGAGACACGGUCCAGACUCCUACGGGAGGCAGCAGUGGGGAAUUUUGGACAAUGGGGGCAACCCUGAUCCAGCCAUUCCGCGUGAGUGAAGAAGGCCUUCGGGUUGUAAAGCUCUUUCGCAAGGGAAGAAAACUUAUGAUCGAAUAAAUCAUGAGGUUGACGGUACUUUGAUAAGAAGCACCGGCUAACUACGUGCCAGCAGCCGCGGAAAUACGUAGGGUGCGAGCGUUAAUCGGAAUUACUGGGCGUAAAGCGUGCGCUGGCGGUUUUGUAAGUCGGAUGUGAAAUCCCCGGGCUCAACCUGGGAACUGCGUUUGAAACUACAAAGCUAG
rnacentral:rRNA from 1 species